rnacentral:lncRNA from 1 species
CUGUUACCCUCUCUGAGUACUGUUACAGAAAUCAGGAAAUGUAAACGAAUCCAGCCAUCUAUUUUUUGGCAAACAGAAACAAUAACAGAUUUUAUCAUCUAUAUAAACAGGUUGGCAAAAUAAUCAACACAUCAUCAGUGACAAAUGAACAUUGAGAAUAACAAGAAAAAAUAUGAAAUUAAAGAUAAAAAGGAUCACCUACACCAUCAGUUUUAAACUUUUAACAAGUGCCAGGAAAACUGUAGUUUUAUUGUUCUGUAUCAAGGUCAUCUGAAAAGACUAACUGCCUUAACCAUAAGAAACAGUUGCACCUUGUUGGAAACUGAAAUGGAACUGACAUGUUAUUGAUAAAGUAAUAAGCUGUGAAUUGCAAACAAAGGGCGACCACUGUUUGCCUAUGAAACUCAGACUUUUACUCCAGGGGAAUGUGAACUGUAUCAUUCAUCUUCCACUCAGUAUCACUUAUUUAAAUUGCAUCAAAUGAAGAAUCUGAAACUCUUUACAGAAUUUGAGAUUUUGUGUUCUGCAUUGGAAGGAUAGCUUUAAUUGGGACAAUAUAUCAAAGUAAUAAAAGUGGGCAUUUUUGCAUCUUUCCUUGGACUAAAAACAAACUUCUAUAAGACUUGUUCAUCCAUUCCCAGAUCACUGCAUAAGUAAGAAAUCUCUAGGAUUGAACUAAACCUUCCAAUUAUCAACUAAGAAUUCUUCUCCUUCUUUUCUUAUGAUGCUCAUUACAGUUCCUUGGACAAAGCAGUGAAAGCCAAGUUUUCUUGAAGCUCAAAACUUCAACCCUUCUAUUUUUUAAUAGGCAAAUUAUACUUGUACCUUUUUGGUUUGUGAUGUAUGUGUGUGUGCUUCCAUAGAGGAAAACACAAUAUCAACUCAUUCUACAACACAAUUAUGAAACAUCUAUACCAAACAUAAAAAAUGCAUAGUGAAUAAUUGACCUACAAGUAUGGCAUUCUGGCACAGAGCAUGCUGUAUGGAAGGGAGAGGGAUGCACAAGAGCAAAGAAAUCAAAGCAUCCUAAACUCUUAGAAUGGUAGGGAGAGGAAGAUAAGGAGGAAGAGUAGGGAAGAAAGAGUCAGUGUUAAGGAAAGGAGAAAGAAGACAAACACACAUGUGCCCUUUCUCCCAAUGCAUUAAGCUGCCAUCGAAGAUAUUGCUGUGACAUGGGCCUGCUGAUUCAUUCACAUUCAUGUCAAACAAAUGCCUUAUGAAGCAUCACAAACUACAACCUAAUCAUAGAAACUCACAGCAACAUCCUUUUAGUGACAAAUUUACCUCCCAUAAUUGUUAACAGAAAAGCAUGCAACUUGCUUACCAAGUGUAAAACGUCAAUGCUCACAAGGCGUGCAUCAGCACCCUCGAUUGUCACCAGCAGUACAUUUCCAGCAACAUCAGCAGAUGUUUUGUUGUUUACUAUUUCUUGCCGGUUGGAAUAUUGUAAGUAGACGGUUUUCCCCCGUACUUGAGCCGGCUCUGAAGAUGAAGCAUAAUAUGAUAUCAUUGCAAUAGCUUGAUUCAAAUCUGCCUGGAAAAGAUUAAAAAAUAUAAUAAGUUCAAAUUUUUGACAGAAUGGAACAGAUAUUUAAAAAGGACAAAAGGAAAAAAAAUGGAGGAAAUAGUGUGUCUAAGAAGAUAAAGAAGAAUUCACACUCACAAAUUCAAUAAAAGCUUGAUUCCUGUUUGCCCCAACAUUGCAUUUUGUGUUGACAACUUUACCAAAUGGCUUUCCCAGCUCAAUCAAUUCCUCCUCUGUGCACUCCCAUGGCAAGUUCCUUAAAUGGAGCACCUUGGAUGGUGGUUGAGUGUAACGGAAUUGUGGUUGACUUGAUACAGAUGCCAUUCCGUACAAUAACCCCAAUUGGUUGAAGGACACUGCAGAGAUAUGAAGUCCUUUGGACCCCUAUGAUAAAAGAGUUAUUCGGUUAUUAUGUUCAUUAUAUUCCAAAAAUGUCUGCAUAUUUGCUAUAAGAUGCUAACUUGCGCGUCACACUUCGUAAGGAAAUCUUUCCACCCCACAACAAUGCCUAUUGCCACUGCACCAUAUAACAGGAUUCUAACAAAAACAAAGAGCACAACAAGGACAAAAGGCUUCAACAUUUUCCAUAACACUAUGUUCUUGAGUGUUGUCUUGGGUUGUCAUUCCAAAAUGAAAAGUUUCAGAAACAAUUUCUAAACAAGAUAAAUAUAACCUUGAAGUGCAGAAAAUGUUUGGAAUUGAUGGAAAUUUUUGUAAACAUAACAAGGACAAAGGAACAGUUUUAGAUGAUGCAAUGGCAAGGUCAAUAUAAUGGGAAAUAAAGCUAUUGGAAUUUAAUAUAACCAUCUUCAUAGUAAGAGAUGUAAAAAGGGUCAUGCACUAAGACUUGAGGAAAAAAGGAUCAAAACCUUUUGACCCACAAAAUAAGAUACAAAAACUAAAGCUAAGCCCCUUUAUUAAGUGGUUGAUAAUACAUUUCAUAUUGAAGUAAUAUUAAAACAUAUAAUGCCAAUACUUUUCUAUUUCUUAUAUCUACAUCAUUUUCUUGAAAUAUCUAUAAGUUCAAAACAUUUGACAAAUGAUUCAUAGGUUAACCCUAUGUUUUGAAUUGAAGCAAAAGCCCUUUCCUCAGCUGCUAAAAUUAAACCUUCAAACUUCAGAAACAUUUCGUUUUUCAAUCAGAAACAUUUCAUGGUUGAAAAAAAUUCAAACAAAAGCUCUUUUGAACUUCUGAAAUUUGUCAAUUGAAAAAACUCAGAACAUUGUAUUGUGUUUUUGUUUCAGUUAGCUAAAACCCAGGAUGUUUUUUGAAACCUAUUGAAAUUUCCAAAAUAUACCAUGUCGUGUUUUGUUUCCAUUAGUUAAAACUUGAGACAUCAUUUAAACUUUCAUCACAACUGUUUACCAAAGGGAAAAAUUUUCUGAUCCAAAAAGCUAGAAUCCCACAUAUAUUUUGGUGGGCAGAUCCAAAAUAUAUUCAUAACGAAAUCAACUGGUUCACACCAUUGAAAUCACAUUCAAAAGGUUAGAUUUAACAGUCCACCAAACCAUUUUUUGUUUGACUUUAUUCUUUCAAUAAACUGAAAGUACAGAAAAAUCAUACACAGAAAGUACUCAAUUUGCUAACCAAAACCACAUAACAAAAUGAAAAAAAAAAAAAGGAGGGGGGGCGGAAGUGGAACCAAUCAACACGCGAAACACAUAAAACUCCACCAGAGAAGGAAAAAAAAAAUUCAAAAACAACCUACAACAUUAGCAGAAAACUGCAACUUCCAAUAACAAAUUAAAUAUCAAAAUAAAAAUAAAAAUCAACACGCAAGCACAUAAAAUCCGCCUAAAAAAAUAUAUAAUAACAUACAUAUUAGCAAAAUUUCAAGUUCCAAGAACAGAUUACACAUUAAUCUCAUCAUCGCCGGUUCGAUUUCAAAGGAAAAAGCGAAUAGUAACAACAAGGGCAAGAUCAAUAAACAAAUUCGAUGCAUAGCUUUGGAGAGAUAAAUAGAGAUCCAAGCAUAAUACCAGAAAUUAGGGCAAGAACUAAAGAGAAUUGAAGAUUUGGGUUGAAAUACCUAAAAGACGAGAGGACCGAGGCCUCGUUUGCAAUAUUCACAAAAUUUAGGGUUCACAGAGAACAGAAGAUGAGAUAAUACUUCUCCUUUAUCGCGAUUUAGGGAUGAAUUUUGGCGCGGGUAGGAGUGCGUACGUGCACACCCUGCGCAUGUUAACAGAAACAACCCCAAGAGCGUUACACCAGGAGGCGUACGUUAGCUGAGGGUAGUUGAUAACUUGAUAUCCAAAUUUAAAAAAUAUAUAUACAAAAUGCAUUAAAUUUUGAAAAAGUAAAAUAUAUAAAUUUAAUAAAAAUCCAUACAAUAUCAAUUAUACUAUAUAAAUAUUUUUUUUUUUUCAAUAUCCGAACAACCUUAUAUUGCCAAACCCUUAACACUCUUAAUUGAGACUCAAAUUUCAAGGUGCUGACCAGCUCACAACAAUCAACACCGAUAAAUUUAAGGUAUUACCUUUGACAUGAUUUUCUCUUAUUUUUAUUAUUAAGAUAUAAUAAAAUAUAAAAAUUAAUUUUUAAAAUUUUUCAAUGAACACAAAAAAAAAAAAAAAAAAAUAUAUAUAUAUAUAUAUAUAUAUAUAUAUAUAUAUAUAUAUUUUUGUUUUUUAUCUUAAAUAAAAAUCCUUCAACUUAAAUCACCUCGUUAAAUGGAAUUAAUAUCAUUUGGUAUGAUGAAGUAAAAAAAGAUUGACAUAAUUCAAAAAUUAAAUAAAUAAAUUUUUAAACCAUAUUUGGUAAAUGAAUUUUUAUUUUAUAAUUUUUUGUAUUUUUAAUUUCACACUUUUACAUGUUUUUUGAUGAUUUUUUAUUUAUUUUAUCCUAUUUAUUUAUAUAACUUUAUUAUUUUAAAAAAUUAUUAAUUUAUUGAAAAAUAAUAUAUUAACUUGUUUAUACCUUUUAAAAAAUUAUUAAAAUAAUACUAGACUCAUAAAUUUAAAUAUAUAGAUUUUUAUUAUAAAAUCAUAUAUUUUUAAUUUUACAACAAUAAAAGUAUUAAUUAAUAAAUAAUAAUCAUUAAUAUUAGCUUUUAUAUACUUUUUAUUAUUAUUUUUAAUUUUAACAGUGUCAAGGUGCAAUUGCGUAUCACCUAACAUGGAGAAAAAGAUUUAUAGUGACAAAUACAAACUCUUAAAUGUCAAAUACAAGCCCAUCACUAAACCCAAUUCAAAUUUUUGGUAACUUUCCAUGGCAUAUCACCUAACAUAGAGCAUUGUAAGGAAAAAAUCAAUGGGUGGAACAUAAAGAUCAGAGUCGAAUCAUCAAACACAUGCAUGCAAGGUUACGAUAUAAGCACCAAAUAAGAGGAGGAAGAAGAAGAAAUUAAUCGAAAAACCGAGGCGGGUCGGGUCGGGUCAUUAUCGGUAAGCAAUGCUGCUUAACUAUGGCCUACAAGGACAUCCCUGUAAGGAGUUGGAACCACAACUGGCAUUGUUUCCUCCACAUGUAUUUUUCUCCUCCUCUGAUCUUCUAGGAUGAGAGGGAUUUGGCCUUCCCUUUCAUGAAUCAGUCUCUCUUGUGCCCCUCCUCGGAGUUUUUCAAGCCUUAAUCCAUCCAUUUGCUGCAUUUUGAACACUUUCACCACAUUCAUUAGGCCCCCAAUGAAGAACAGUAGCGACCCAAACAUGCCUAACCACACCCAAGCCAUACCCUGCCAAGAAAAAAGACAGUCAUCCAAGGUUGUCCCGCAAUAUUUCUAUAUGGAAAUUUCAGCUAAAAUUUCAUGGAAACCCUUCAUGAUCAUGCUAGAAUGCUUGUUUGUCAUGCACAAUAUAAGGCAUGUUUUGCACAAACCCAAUAAUUUUGAUUAGAAAUCUCUUAAACUCGAUAAAUUUCGUUCAACAUUCUUUAGAUGGUUUUUGUUUUUUUACUGAAUAGAAAAAACCAAAAUAUUCAGUUUUAUCUAUUCAACUAAAAGUACUUUAUUAUAUUAACCAAUAUCACUAAAAUGAACUUAUCAUUAAUAAGUUUAGUUUAAUUAUAUUGAUUGAUGUCAAUGAAUUAUUUUUAUCUGAAUAGAAAAAACCAAAUAUUUUAACUUUUUCUAAUCAGAUAAAAAACAAACACCACCUUAAAAUGGAUAUAAUUUGUGGCAUGCUUUGUGCUUGAAUGAAUGCCUUCUAUCCAUUCUAUGAAAAUUUAUGCACCAAAUCAUAAACCCAGUAAAUUUCAUUAAAGAUUCUCUUGGAUGCGCCAUUUCACAUUUGCUCAAGUCUGUUUCCGUUUCUAGAGUAUCAAGUCAUUCUUCAUGAUAGUUACUCAAAGCAAACCGAUAUUAUGAGUUGGUAGACUCUCGACAAAUAGUUUAUCUUCCUAAAUACUUCUCUAAAUUAUUGUCCAUCUACUUCUAAACUACCAUGUUAGUGUCUUGUGAUAGUUGUAUAAGGAAAAUAAUCCAAUUUAGUAUCAUGCAAUGGCAUAGCAUAUAAUUUUUUAUACUUUAUUUUAGCGAAUCUCUUAAGAAAAUAGAACAUCGCUCUUUAGGAGAACUUACCAAUAAGUCUAUACCAUGAUGAACCAAUCGCGCUUGCUCAUGGCAGUUUAUAAUUGAACCCACCAUGAACAACAAGCUUCCCAUUAAGAAUGGGAUGUGGACGCUCUGCUGCAAUAUUUGGAUGUGUCCAUCAGCUCUCUCGUAGAUUUGGCACGAGUUAUGGAUCGAGCCAAGCACCCAUAGAACAGGGCCAGCAAUAAGCAUGUUCAAAGCAUGCCUCUCCAAUUUGAAGUAACCAUAGCCUUUCUCUUCCUGCAAUUUGCAGAUCCAAUAUUGUGACAAUACAUUGUUAAAAAGUUGGACCCACAAAGCCAAAUUUGAUUUUAUAAUGAUAUUAUAUGGUAAUAAAAAUUUUUAAAAGGUUUAUAUGAUUCAAAAUUCAAAAUAAAGACGAUCGGACAAGGUCUAUAUGAUAGUUUUUUUGGUGCAAAUGUUAUAAUAUAAUAGGACUAAAAUAUAAAAUAUUAAAAUCAAUAUUUCUCAAUUCAAUGUACAUAAAACCCUAUUGUUUUUUCUUUUUCUUUUUGGGAAUGGAAACUAUUUUUUUAUUUUCUUUUCAUGGAGAAUUGAGCUCAAAAAAAGGGAAAAUGUGAAAAUACUCUCAAGGAAAGUGAAUAGCAGUUCCCAAAAGAUUAGAAGGGGAAAGAAUUAAAAAGCUUAUAAAAUGUAAAAUAUAAAAAGAAUAUAAAUAUUGUAAAUACUAAAGGAUCAUGAAUAUAUAUGAGUUCAUGUAUAUCCAAAAUUAAUGUUUUGUUUGGUUGUGUGAUUUAAAAAUAAUUUUUUGUUUUUAAAAUAACAUUGAUGUUAGUAUGAGGAAACAACCUUUAAAAAUAAAAUGAAAUAGAAAUCAAUAUAACAAGUAUAAAUUAUUUUAAUUAGUUUUUAAAAGU